ACAGAUUUCUUCGGAAUGAAGUUUUAGUGACUGAGUGGCGGACGGGUGAGUAACGCGUGGGUAACCUGCCUCACACAGGGGGAUAACAGUUGGAAACGGCUGCUAAUACCGCAUAAGCGCACAGUACCGCAUGGUACAGUGUGAAAAACUCCGGUGGUGUGAGAUGGACCCGCGUCUGAUUAGCUAGUUGGCAGGGCAACGGCCUACCAAGGCGACGAUCAGUAGCCGACCUGAGAGGGUGACCGGCCACAUUGGGACUGAGACACGGCCCAAACUCCUACGGGAGGCAGCAGUGGGGAAUAUUGCACAAUGGGGGAAACCCUGAUGCAGCGACGCCGCGUGAGCGAAGAAGUAUUUCGGUAUGUAAAGCUCUAUCAGCAGGGAAGAAGAAAUGACGGUACCUGACUAAGAAGCACCGGCUAAAUACGUGCCAGCAGCCGCGGUAAUACGUAUGGUGCAAGCGUUAUCCGGAUUUACUGGGUGUAAAGGGAGCGCAGGCGGAGGGCUAAGUCUGAUGUGAAAGCCCGGGGCUCAACCCCGGUACUGCAUUGGAAACUGGUCAUCUAGAGUGUCGGAGGGGUAAGUGGAAUUCCUAGUGUAGCGGUGAAAUGCGUAGAUAUUAGGAGGAACACCAGUGGCGAAGG
rnacentral:rRNA from 1 species